rnacentral:tRNA from 4 species
GGAUAGCUCAGUCGGUAGAGCAGAGGAUUGAAAAUCCUCGUGUCGGCGGUUCGAUUCCGUCUCCGG